rnacentral:sRNA from 1 species
AAGCUAGGAUCUGCCUUCAGCAGCUGUCGCCCCAUCCACAGGGCUGAUCUGGCUGGCAUGAUCUGGCUGGCAUGGCUGUUCUCUUCCCCCUCCCUUCCUCAUGUGCAUCCCUCCCAAAGCUACACAGUCCAUGCUUCUGAUGGAAAGGACGACGUCUCCUGUCUUCAGUCAAGGGUUGAAGGGUAAAUGAAUAGCUACACUCCCCUACUACAACCACCAAACAAAGGUGAAGAAGAGGGAGAAGGAGGAGGAGGAGGAAGAGGAAGAGCAACCGCAGCCAGAAUCAUUCACCUUCUCU